CGCCGCCUGAAUGUGUGGGAUUUAAGUAAAAUUGGAGAAGAACAAUCAGCAGAAGAUGCAGAGGAUGGGCCUCCAGAGCUCCUGUUUAUUCAUGGAGGACACACUGCCAAGAUUUCUGACUUCAGUUGGAACCCCAAUGAACCUUGGGUCAUUUGCUCUGUGUCUGAAGAUAACAUCAUGCAGAUAUGGCAAAUGGUGAGUUGGAAUUUUUCAUAACUCCUGUAAAACCAUUUCACUGGUGAUAGAAUGUAAUAAAAGUAUGUAAUUUAGGUGACUAUUAAAAUUUGUGGGGGUGGGAGCAAUUUAACCAAAGCUUAAGAUCAAUAUAUCUGGAACUCAUGUAAAAGUGAUAGGAAAGAACCAACUUACCAAAGUUGUCUUCUGAUAAUAAUAAAGAGAUUUAGCUCAGUAUCAUUUUAUCCACCGUCAUAAACACAUGCACUAUAUUGACAUUUCUCAUCACACUAUCAGCUGGGAUCUUGAUAGUGAGGGGGAUACCAAGGUGUUAAAAUAAAAUAAUGCAAAGUACUUGCAUUAUUCCCUCAGUGACACUUGAAGUGCUUUCAGGAAGCCAAUUCUGAACAGUGACUGUGCAUGGGUGACUAUGUGUAGACAACUACAUGCUGGCAAAUAAUUAUUAAAGGGUCACUGAAACACAUUGACAGUAAAUUCUGUUUUUACCUGUGAAUUUAUUUGGUUGUUAUCUCCAGGCUGAAAAUAUUUACAAUGAUGAAGAGUCAGAUGUCACGACAUCGGAACUGGAGGGGCAAGGAUCUUAAACCCAAAGUAUGAGUUGUUUCUAUUGAAUGUAUUGCUACACGAAUGCUUGAUUUGUCAAGCGCCAAAAAGGCAUUGUAUAGU
rnacentral:lncRNA from 1 species